AUUGAACGCUGGCGGCAGGCCUUACACAUGCAAGUCGAACGAGUGGCGGACGGGUGAGUAAUGUCUGGGAAACUGCCCGUUGGCGGGGGAUAACUACUGGAAACGGUAGCUAAUACCGCAUACCAUUGGAUGUGCCCAGAUGGGAUUAGCUAGUAGGUGGGGUAACGGCUCACCUAGGCGACGAUCCCUAGCUGGUCUGAGAGGAUGACCAGCUACAUUGGGACGUGGGCACGGUCAAGACUCCUACGGGAGGCGGCAGUGGGGAAUAUUGCACAAUGGGCACAAUCCUUAUGCAGCCAUACCGCGUGUAUGAAGAAGGCCUUCAGGUUGUAAAGUACUUUCAGCGAGGAGGCAGUACUCGCAGGAGAAGCACCGGCUAACUCCGUGCCAGCAGCCGCGGUAAUAC
rnacentral:rRNA from 1 species